rnacentral:rRNA from 1 species
GACGAACGCUGGCGGCGUGGAUUAGGCAUGCAAGUCGAACGGUAUCAUCCUUUCGGGGGUGAGAGAGUGGCGAACUGGUGAGUAACGCGUAGGUUAUCUACCCUCAAGACGGGGACAACCCAGGGAAACUUGGGCUAAUACCGGAUGUGAGCAACUUUUAGUUGUUUGAAAGGUGGCGUAAGCUGUCGCUUGGGGAUGAGCCUGCGUCCUAUUAGUUAGUUGGUGAGGUAACGGCUCACCUAGGCAAUGAUAGGUAGGCGGCCUUAACGGGUGGUCGCCCACACUGGGAUUGAGAUACGGCCCAGACUCCUACGGGAGGCAGCAGUCGAGAAUAGUCUACAAUGGUCGGAAGACUGAUAGUGCGACGCCGCGUGAACGAUGAAUCCCUUCGGGGUGUAAAGUUCUUUUAUAUGUGAGCAGUGCUUCUUAUAUUAACAGUAUGGGGAGAGAGAUAUUAGCAUAUGAAUAAGCAACGGCUAACUCCGUGCCAGCAGCCGCGGUAAACUCGU